AACGAACGCUGGCGGCAGGCUUAACACAUGCAAGUCGAGCGCCCCGCAAGGGGAGCGGCAGACGGGUGAGUAACGCGUGGGAAUCUACCCAUCUCUACGGAACAACUCCGGGAAACUGGAGCUAAUACCGUAUACGUCCUUCGGGAGAAAGAUUUAUCGGAGAUGGAUGAGCCCGCGUUGGAUUAGCUAGUUGGUGGGGUAAUGGCCUACCAAGGCGACGAUCCAUAGCUGGUCUGAGAGGAUGAGCAGCCACACUGGGACUGGGACACGGCCCAGACUCCUACGGGAGGCAGCAGUGUGGAAUAUUGGACAAUGGGCGAAAGCCUGAUCCAGCCAUGCCGCGUGAGUGAUGAAGGCCUUAGGGUUGUAAAGCUCUUUCGCAGGUGAAGAUAAUGACGGUAACCUGAGAAGAAGCCCCGGCUAACUUCGUGCCAGCCGCCGCGGUAAAAC
rnacentral:rRNA from 1 species